UACAGAGGUGGCAAGCGUUGUUCGGAAUUACUGGGCGUAAAGGGCGCGUAGGCGGCCAUCUAAGUCAGACGUGAAAUCCCCCGGCUUAACCUGGGAACUGCGUCUGAUACUGGAAGGCUUGAGUAUGGGAGAGGGAUGUAGAAUUCCAGGUGUAGCGGUGAAAUGCGUAGAUAUCAGGAGGAACACCGGUGGCGAAGGCGGGUCUCUGGGCCGAUACUGACGCUGAGGAGCGAAAGCGUGGGGAGCGAACAGG
rnacentral:rRNA from 1 species